rnacentral:rRNA from 1 species
CUUUCCCUCUUUCUUUAGGCCUAACACAUGCAAGUCGAACGGCAGCACAGUAAGAGCUUGCUCUUACGGGUGGCGAGUGGCGGACGGGUGAGGAAUACAUCGGAAUCUACUUUUUCGUGGGGGAUAACGUAGGGAAACUUACGCUAAUACCGCAUACGACCUACGGGUGAAAGCAGGGGAUCUUCGGACCUUGCGCGAUUGAAUGAGCCGAUGUCGGAUUAGCUAGUUGGCGGGGUAAAGGCCCACCAAGGCGACGAUCCGUAGCUGGUCUGAGAGGAUGAUCAGCCACACUGGAACUGAGACACGGUCCAGACUCCUACGGGAGGCAGCAGUGGGGAAUAUUGGACAAUGGGCGCAAGCCUGAUCCAGCCAUACCGCGUGGGUGAAGAAGGCCUUCGGGUUGUAAAGCCCUUUUGUUGGGAAAGAAAAGCAGCAGGUUAAGACCCCGCUGUUCGGACGGGACCCAAAGAAUAAGCACCGGCGAACUUCGU